CUAUAGCCCACCCGUUUUUUGUCCAUUUUUCCGCUGGGGGGUCUUGGCACCUCCACCUUCGGGGGCUAAUUUUUGGGCGCGGCUGUACCCGUGGCCUAUUUUUGGCACAUGAGGGCCACCCGCAAAGUCUGGGGCCAUUCCGAGUCCGGCGGACGAACUUCGCCCACGCCCCCCACCAAGGCUAUAGCCCACCCGUUUUUUGGCCAUUUUUCCGCUGGGGUGUCUUGGCGCCCCGACCUUCGGGGGCUAAUUUUUGGGCGCGGCUGUGCCCGUGGCCUAAUUUUGGCACACGGAGGCCGCCCGCAAAGUCUGGGGCCAUUCCGAGUCCGGCGGACGAACUUCGCCCACGCCCCCCACCAAGGCUAUAGCCCACCCGUUUUUUGACCAUUUUUCCGCUGGGGGGUCUUGGCACCUCCACCUUCGGGGGCUAAUUUUUGGGCGUGGCUGUGCCCGUGGCCUAUUUUUGGCACACGAGGGCCACCCGCAAAGUGUGGGGCCAUUCCGAGUCCGGCGGACGAAGUUCGCCCACGCCCCCCACCAAGGCUAUAGCCCACCCGUUUUUUGGCCAUUUUUCCGCUGGGGGGUCUUGGCACCUCCACCUUCGGGGGCUAAUUUUUGGGCCCGGCUGUGCCCGUGGCCUAUUUUUGGCACACGGAAGCUGCCCGCAAAGUCUGGGGCCAUUCCGAGUCCGGAGGACGAACUUCGCCCACGCCCCCCACCAAGGCUAUAGCCCACCCGUUUUUUGGCCAUUUUUCCGCUGGGGGGUCUUGGCACUUCCACCUUUCGGGGCUAAUUUUUGGGCCCGGCUGUGCCCGUGGCCUAUUUUUGGCACACGGAAGCUGCCCGCAAAGUCUGGGGCCAUUCCGAGUCCGGAGGACGAACUUCGCCCACGCCCCCCACCAAGGCUAUAGCCCACCCGUUUUUUGGCCAUUUUUCCGCUGGGGGGUCUUGGCACUUCCACCUUCGGGGGCUAAUUUUUGGGCGCGGCUGUGCCCGUGGCCUAUUUUUGGCACACGAGGGCCGCCCACAAAGUCUGGGGCCAUUCCGAGUCCGGCGGAGGAACUUCGCCCACGCCCCCCACCAAGGCUAUAGCCCACCCAUUUUUUGGCCAUUUUUCGCUUGGGGGUCUUCGCUCCCCGACCUUCGGGGUUUAAUUUUUGGGCGCGGUUGUGCCCGCGGCUUAUUUUGGCACACGGAGCCCCCCCGCAAAGUCUGGGCCAAUUCGGAGUCCGGCGGACGAACUUCGCCCGCUCCCCCCACCAAGGCUAUAGCCCACCCGUUUUUUGGCCAUUUUUCCGCUGGGGGGUCUUGGCGCCCCGACCUUCGGGGGCUAAUUUUUGGGCGCGGCUGUGCCCGUGGCCUAAUUUUGGCACACGGAGGCUGCCCGCAAAGUCUGGGGCCAUUCCGAGUCCGGCGGACGAACUUCGCCCACGCCCCCCACCAAGGCUAUAGCCCACCCGUUUUUUGACCAUUUUUCCGAUGGGGGGUCUUGGCACCUCCACCUUCGGGGGCUAAUUUUUGGGCGCGGCUGUGCCCUUGGCCAAUUUUUGGCACACGAGGGCCACCCGCAAAGUGUGGGGCCAUUCCGAGUCCGGCGGACGAAGUUCGCCCACGCCCCGACCAAGGCUAUAGCCCACCCGUUUUUUGGCCAUUUUUCCGCUGGGGGGUCUUGGCACCUCCACCUUCGGGGGCUAAUUUUGGGGCGCGGCUGUGCCCGUGGCCUAUUUUUGGCACACGAGGGCCACCCGCAAAGUCUGGGGCCAUUCCGAGUCCGGCGGACGAACUUCGCCCACGCCCCCCACCAAGGCUAUAGCCCACCCGUUUUUUGGCCAUUUUUCCGCUGGGGGGUCUUGGCAGCCCGACCUUCGGGGGCUAAUUUUUGGGCACGGCUGUGCCCGUGGUCAAUUUUUGGCACACGGAGGCCGCCCGCAAAGUCUGGGGCCAUUCCGAGUCCGGUGGACGAACUUCGCCCGCGCCCCCCACCAAGGCUAUAGCCCACCCGUUUUUUGGCCAUUUUUCCGCUGGGGGGACUUGGCGCCCCGACCUUCGGGGACUAAUUUUUGGGCGCGGCUGUGCCCGUGGCCUAUUUUUGGUACACGGAGGCCGCCCGCAAAGUCUGGGGCCAUUCCGAAUCCGGCGGACGAACUUCGCCCACGCCCCCCACCAAGGCUAUAGCCCACCCGUUUUUUGUCCAUUUUUCCGCUGGGGGGUCUUGGCACCUCCACCUUCGGGGGCUAAUUUUUGGGCGCGGCUGUGCCCGUGGCCUAUUUUUGGCACACGAGGGCCACCCGCAAAGUCUGGGGCCAUUCCGAGUCCGGCGGACGAACUUCGCCCACGCCCCCCACCAAGGCUAUAGCCCACCCGUUUUUUGGCCAUUUUUCCGCUGGGGGGUCUUGGCGCCCCGACCUUCGGGGGCUAAUUUUUGGGCGCGGCUGUGCCCGUGGCCUAAUUUUUGGCACACGGAGGCCGCCCGCAAAGUCUGGGGCCAUUCCGAGUCCGGCGGACGAACUUCGCCCACGCCCCCCACCAAGGCUAUAGCCCACCCGUUUUUUUGACCAUUUUUCCGCUGGGGGGUCUUGGCACCUCCACCUUCGGGGGCUAAUUUUUGGGCGCGGCUGUGCCCGUGGCCUAUUUUUGGCACACGGAGGCCACCCGCAAAGUGUGGGGCCAUUCCGAGUCCGGCGGACGAAGUUCGCCCACGCCCCCCACCAAGGCUAUAGCCCACCCGUUUUUUGGCCAUUUUUCCGCUGGGGGGUCUUGGCACCUCCACCUUCGGGGGCUAAUUUUUGGGCCCGGCUGUGCCCGUGGCCUAUUUUUGGCACACGGAAGCUGCCCGCAAAGUCUGGGGCCAUUCCGAGUCCGGAGGACGAACUUCGCCCACGCCCCCCACCAAGGCUAUAGCCCACCCGUUUUUUGGCCAUUUUUCCGCUGGGGGGUCUUGGCACCUCCACCUUCGGGGGCUAAUUUUUGGGCCCGGCUGUGCACGUGGCCUAUUUUUGGCACACGGAGGCUGCCCGCAAAGUCUGGGGCCAUUCCGAGUCCGGCGGACGAAGUUCGCCCACGCCCCCCACCAAGGCUAUAGCCCACCCGUUUUUUGGCCAUUUUUCCGCUGGGGGGUCUUGGCACCUCCACCUUCGGGGGCUAAUUUUUGGGCGCGGCUGUGCCCGUGGCCUAUUUUUGGCACACGAGGGCCACCCGCAAAGUGUGGGGCCAUUCCGAGUCCGGCGGACGAAGUUCGCCCACGCCCCCCACCAAGGCUAUAGCCCACCCGUUUUUUGGCCAUUUUUCCGCUGGGGGGUCUUGGCACCUCCACCUUCGGGGGCUAAUUUUUGGGCCCGGCUGUGCACGUGGCCUAUUUUUGGCACACGGAGGCUGCCCGCAAAGUCUGGGGCCAUUCCGAGUCCGGCGGACGAAGUUCGCCCACGCCCCCCACCAAGGCUAUAGCCCACCCGUUUUUUGGCCAUUUUUCCGCUGGGGGGUCUUGGCACCUCCACCUUCGGGGGCUAAUUUUUGGGCCCGGCUGUGCCCGUGGCCUAUUUUUGGCACACGGAAGCUGCCCGCAAAGUCUGGGGCCAUUCCGAGUCCGGAGGACGAACUUCGCCCACGCCCCCCACCAAGGCUAUAGCCCACCCGUUUUUUGGCCAUUUUUCCGCUGGGGGGUCUUGGCACUUCCACCUUCGGGGGCUAAUUUUUGGGCGCGGCUGUGCCCGUGGCCUAUUUUUGGCACACGAGGGCCGCCCACAAAGUCUGGGGCCAUUCCGAGUCCGGCGGACGAACUUCGCCCACGCCCCCCACCAAGGCUAUAGCCCACCCAUUUUUUGGCCAUUUUUCCGCUGGGGGGUCUUCGCUCCCCGACCUUCGGGGGCUAAUUUUUGGGCGCGGCUGUGCCCGCGGCCUAUUUUUGGCACACGGAGGCCGCCCGCAAAGUCUGGGGCCAUUCCGAGUCCGGCGGACGAACUUCGCCCGCGCCCCCCACCAAGGCUAUAGCCCACCCGUUUUUUGGCCAUUUUUCCGCUGGGGGGUCUUGGCGCCCCGACCUUCGGGGGCUAAUUUUUGGGCGCGGCUGUGCCCGUGGCCUAUUUUUGGCACACGGAGGCCGCCCGCAAAGUCUGGGGCCAUUCCGAAUCCGGCGGACGAACUUCGCCCACGCCCCGACCAAGGCUAUAGCCCACCCGUUUUUUGGCCAUUUUUCCGCUGGGGGGUCUUGGCACCUCCACCUUCGGGGGCUAAUUUUGGGGCGCGGCUGUGCCCGUGGCCUAUUUUUGGCACACGAGGGCCACCCGCAAAGUCUGGGGCCAUUCCGAGUCCGGCGGACGAACUUCGCCCACGCCCCCCACCAAGGCUAUAGCCCACCCGUUUUUUGGCCAUUUUUCCGCUGGGGGGUCUUGGCAGCCCGACCUUCGGGGGCUAAUUUUUGGGCACGGCUGUGCCCGUGGUCUAUUUUUGGCACACGGAGGCCGCCCGCAAAGUCUGGGGCCAUUCCGAGUCCGGUGGACGAACUUCGCCCGCGCCCCCCACCAAGGCUAUAGCCCACCCGUUUUUUGGCCAUUUUUCCGCUGGGGGGACUUGGCGCCCCGACCUUCGGGGACUAAUUUUUGGGCGCGGCUGUGCCCGUGGCCUAUUUUUGGCACACGGAGGCCGCCCGCAAAGUCUGGGGCCAUUCCGAAUCCGGCGGACGAACUUCGCCCACGCCCCCCACCAAGGCUAUAGCCCACCCGUUUUUGUCCAUUUUCCGCUGGGGGGUCUUGGCACCUCCACCUUCGGGGGCUAAUUUUUGGGCGCGGCUGUGCCCGUGGCCUAUUUUUGGCACACGAGGGCCACCCGCAAAGUCUGGGGCCAUUCCGAGUCCGGCGGACGAACUUCGCCCACGCCCCCCACCAAGGCUAUAGCCCACCCGUUUUUUGGCCUUUUUUCCGCUGGGGGGUCUUGGCGCCCCGACCUUCGGGGGCUAAUUUUUGGGCGCGGCUGUGCCCGUGGCCUAAUUUUGGCACACGGAGGCUGCCCGCAAAGUCUGGGGCCAUUCCGAGUCCGGCGGACGAACUUCGCCCACGCCCCCCACCAAGGCUAUAGCCCACCCGUUUUUUGACCAUUUUUCCGCUGGGGGGUCUUGGCACCUCCACUUUCGGGGGCUAAUUUUUGGGCGCGGCUGUGCCCGUGGCUAUUUUUUGGCACACGAGGGCCACCCGCAAAGUGUGGGGCCAUUCCGAGUCCGGCGGACGAAGUUCGCCCACGCCCCCCACCAAGGCUAUAGCCCACCCGUUUUUUGGCCAUUUUUCCGCUGGGGGGUCUUGGCACCUCCACCUUCGGGGGCUAAUUUUUGGGCCCGGCUGUGCCCGUGGCCUAUUUUUGGCACACGGAGGCUGCCCGCAAAGUCUGGGGCCAUUCCGAGUCCGGCGGACGAACUUCGCCCACGCCCCCCACCAAGGCUAUAGCCCACCCGUUUUUUGGCCAUUUUUCCGCUGGGGGGUCUUGGCACCUCCACCUUCGGGGGCUAAUUUUUGGGCGCGGCUGUGCCCGUGGCCUAUUUUUGGCACACGAGGGCCGCCCACAAAGUCUGGGGCCAUUCCGAGUCCGGCGGAGGAACUUCGCCCACGCCCCCCACCAAGGCUAUAGCCCACCCAUUUUUUGGCCAUUUUUCCGCUGGGGGGUCUUCGCGCCCCGACCUUCGGGGGCUAAUUUUUGGGCGCGGCUGUGCCCGCGGCCUAUUUUUGGCACACGGAGGCCGCCCGCAAAGUCUGGGGCCAUUCCGAGUCCGGCGGACGAACUUCGCCCGCGCCCCCCACCAAGGCUAUAACCCACCCGUUUUUUGGCCAUUUUUCCGCUGGGGGGUCUUGGCGCCCCGACCUUCGGGGGCAAAUUUUUGGGCGCGGCUGUGCCCGUGGCCUAUUUUUGGCACACGGAGGCCGCCCGCAAAGUCUGGGGCCAUUCCGAAUCCGGCGGACGAACUUCGCCCACGCCCCGACCAAGGCUAUAGCCCACCCGUUUUUUGGCCAUUUUUCCGCUGGGGGGUCUUGGCACCUCCACCUUCGGGGGCUAAUUUUUGGGCGCGGCUGUGCCCGUGGCCUAUUUUUGGCACACGAGGGCCACCCGCAAAGUCUGGGGCCAUUCCGAGUCCGGCGGACGAACUUCGCCCACGCCCCCGACUAAGGCUAUAGCCCACCCGUUUUUUGGCCAUUUUUCCGCUGGGGGGUCUUGGCAGGCCGACCUUCGGGGGCUAAUUUUUGGGCACGGCUGUGCCCGUGGUCUAUUUUUGGCACACGGAGGCCGCCCGCAAAGUCUGGGGCCAUUCCGAGUCCGGCGGACGAACUUCGCCCGCGCCCCCCACCAAGGCUAUAGCCCACCCGUUUUUUGGCCAUUUUUCCGCUGGGGGGACUUGGCGCCCCGACCUUCGGGGACUAAUUUUUGGGCGCGGCUGUGCCCGUGGCCUAUUUUUGGCACACGGAGGCCGCCCGCAAAGUCUGGGGCCAUUCCGAAUCCGGCGGACGAACUUCGCCCACGCCCCCCACCAAGGCUAUAGCCCACCCGUUUUUUGUCCAUUUUUCCGCUGGGGGGUCUUGGCACCUCCACCUUCGGGGGCUAAUUUUUGGGCGCGGCUGUGCCCGUGGCCUAUUUUUGGCACACGAAGGCCACCCGCAAAGUCUGGGGCCAUUCCGAGUCCGGCGGACGAACUUCGCCCACGCCCCCCACCAAGGCUAUAGCCCACCCCUUUUUUGGCCAUUUUUCCGCUGGGGGGUCUUGGCACCUCCACCUUCGGGGGCUAAUUUUUGGGCGCGGCUGUGCCCGUGGCCUAUUUUUGGCACACGGAGGCCGCCCGCAAAGUCUGGGGCUAUUCCGAGUCCGGCGGACGAACUUCGACCUCGCCCCCCACCAAGGCUAUAGCCCACCCGUUUUUUGGCCAUUUUUCCGCUGGGAGGUCUUGGCACCUCCACCUUCGGGGGCUAAUUUUUGGGCGCGGCUCUGCCCGUGGCCUAUUUUUGGCACACGAGGGUCGCCUGCAAAGUCUGGGGCCAUUCCGAGUCCGGCGGACGAACUUCGCCCACGCCCCCCACCAAGGCUAUAGCCCACCCGUUUUUUGGCCAUUUUUCCGCUGGGGGGUCUUGGCGCCCCGACCUUCGGGGGCUAAUUUUUGGGCGCGGCUGUGUCCGUGGCCUAUUUUUGGCACACGGAGGCCGCCCGCAAAGUCUGGGGCCAUUCCGAGUCCGGCGGACGAACUUCGCCCACGCCCCCCACCAN
rnacentral:lncRNA from 1 species